CUAGCGACUUCAGAGUUUGAUCCUGGCUCAGGACGAACGCUGGCGGCGUGCUUAACACAUGCAAGUCGAACGGGGAUCAUAUGGAUGAGCGCUUCGGCAGGAAUCCGGAUGAUUCGAGUGGCGGACGGGUGAGUAACGCGUGAGCAACCUGUCCCAGACAGGGGGAUAACACUUGGAAACAGGUGCUAAUACCGCAUGAGACCACGGUAUCGCAUGGUACUGAGGUAAAAGGUGCAAACCGGUUUGGGGUGGGCUCGCGUCCGAUUAGAUAGUUGGUGAGGUAACGGCCCACCAAGUCGACGAUCGGUAGCCGACCUGAGAGGGUGAUCGGCCACAUUGGAACUGAGAGACGGUCCAA
rnacentral:rRNA from 1 species